GAUGAACGCUAGCGGCAGGCCUAACACAUGCAAGUCGAGGGAUAAGCUUUCGAGCUGAAACCGGCGUACGGGUGCGUAACGCGUAUACAAUCUGCCUUUCACUGGGGGAUAGCCCGAAGAAAUUUGGAUUAAUACCCCAUAGAAUAAUGGUGUGGCAUCAUAUUAUUAUUAAAGCUACGGUGGUGAAAGAUGAGUAUGCGUUCUAUUAGCUAGUUGGAGAGGUAACGGCUCCCCAAGGCAACGAUAGAUAGGGGUUCUGAGAGGGAUGUCCCCCACACUGGUACUGAGAUACGGACCAGACUCCUACGGGAGGCAGCAGUGAGGAAUAUUGGACAAUGGUCGGAAGACUGAUCCAGCCAUGCCGCGUGCAGGAUGAAGGUCUUAUGGAUUGUAAACUGCUUUUGCAGGGGAAGAAUAAGGACUACGCGUAGUUUGAUGACGUACUCUGGAUAGC
rnacentral:rRNA from 1 species